UAUACACACCUAUGAUGAAAAUUCAUUUUACAAAUUAGGCACAGUAAGAGAUUAACAAUAAUAAGUCCCAAUAAAAUAGAACGGUUACAACAAUAUACGGUAAUAAAAGCUAUGUGAGUGUAGUCUCUCAAAGUAUCUUAUUCUACUAUACCCACCCUUCUUCUUGUGAUGAUUUGAGUUGAUAAAAUUUCUAUGUGAUGAGAUGUAAUGAGGUGAAUGACAUAAGCAUUGUGACUUAGUGUGGGCUCCUGUUGAACUUUUACAUGUCAUCAUCUACUUCUGGACCAUGUUGACAGUAGGUAAGUAAAACCAUGAAUAGUGAAACCACAGAUAAAGGGGGACUAUUCCAAUUGCAAAUUAUAAAAGAGGAGCUUAAUUACAAAAUAAUUAUAGUACUGUGUGAUAAAUACAAAUAAAUGAAGGUAUCUAUAAUGUAUAGGGGUGCCACAAAGUACAGAGUCAUAUGGAAAGUCUCUCAGAGAAGAAGACACUUGAAAUGGAUCUUGAAGGACACUUCAACGAGGGUAUGAAGAUGAGGAGAGCCUUCCAGACAGAAGGAACAACAUGUACAUAAGCAUAGAGUAAUAAAAUAGGUGUUCUUUAAAUCACUCAAGGUAGAGAAAAUAAAGCCAGGAGAUAUCUCAUAGGAACAAUGCACAACUGGGUGUGAUGGGUACUGAUCUGGGGAAUUACACAUCUCUUGGGGACAGAUGUAUAUUCUCUCUCCAUCUAUAUUUGGGGUCAUAUGGUCUCUUAGUAUUGCUUUGUUCUGACCAGGUGUUCCUCUCCUGUGGACUUUUGCAAGCUAGUUUCUCCAGUCUUCAAUAUGAGUAUAUAACCUCAAAAGGACAUCCUGGGCUCACCUCAAGAUGAUUUCAGUUUAAACACUACUGUGAUCUGACUAUAGUUUCCCUGUGUCUUGGUUGGAAUUUUCUUGGCCAGCCAAUGUGCUAGCCUUUGGACAGUUACUUUCCUAUGGUUGAUCAGUUGUGUCAUUGGGAGACAGGGUCAUUAUGAUAGUAACAUGACUGCACAGAUGAACAAUUUCAGUUCACCUGACAAUAGGAUCAAGUCUAUAUCUUCAAAUAACUCUUCCUGAAGCAAGAAGCAUGGGGGUGGUAGGGGGGUAAAAUGGGAGGAAGUAAAACCAGAUAGGAAGUUAUUGUAGUCUAAGUAAGAAAUAGGGUCUGAACUAAGACAAUAGGAGGGGAAUAGAAAGGAGAAUGAUACAGUAAAGGUGAAAUAAAUUAAUUUACUCAUUGACUCAUUCAUUUAGUCAACAAAUGUUUAUUGAGCAUCUCUCAUAUACCAGUAUUCUUCUAGGUAUGAUGAGGAAAAUAGACAAAAAUUCCUAUUCUCAUAACGCUCAUAAUUUAGAGACAGAAAUCAAGAAAAUUUUGUAAAAGUAAACUAUGAAUUGUGUGAGAUAGUGACAAGUGCUAUUUAGUUAUGAUUGCUAUUUAUCAAAUCACCCCAAGACUCUCCAUUUUAUGAUGCCCAUGGGUGCUGUGAGACAGGAAUUCCGAAAGGGUACCAGGAGCAUGACUUGUCUCUCCUCUAUAAUGUCUAAUGUCUGGGGCUUCUGCUGGAAAGACUUUACAGCUAAGGGCAACUCAACAGCUGGAGAGUGGAAGCAUGUGGAGGCAUCUUCGCUCACCCUGGAGGUUGUUACUGGCUACCAGGUGUGAACCUGCUGGUGGACGCACCUAAACACGGCCUUUCUAAGUGGCCUGGCUUCCUCAUGGGAUUGGCAGCCUCUGGAAUACUUGGACCUUUUAUACUGCAGCUCAGGCCUCCAAGGACAAGGUCCCAAGAGAACUAGGAGGAAGCUAUAUGGUGUUUUUGGACUCAGCCUCUGAAGUUAUGUAGCAGAUUCAGGGAAUCAACCUUUGGAGGAGAUGAGUGCCCAGAACUUUACAGACUGAUUUGAAAACCACCAUGAGCAGUCUGGAGAAAAACUGAGCAGGAUUGAAAGGGGCGGGGAAUCCCAUGGGGAAAAGCAGGAAGUAGCUUUCCAUUUUAAUUUACGUGGCCAUUGAAGAAGCAAGUUUUGGCAAAGGGAGGUUCAGGAAGGAAAACACAUUUCAGGCAGAGGGACAGCAAGAGCAAAGGACUUAUUGAAGGCAUUGACCAAUUAAUUCGAUUGAUGAAAGCUGGGAUGAAUAAGAAGGUAGAAGGCUAGCAUUUUUAGACUUCUGGCUUGUGUGUCUAGAAGAAUGGUAGUUCCACUACCAGGAAUUCAACCCAGGGGGCAGAGAGGACUGAGUGAAUCUUGGACAUGCUGUGCUUAAAUGUUUAUCAGAAUUCAUUGUGUGUGUGUGUGUGUGUGUGUGUGUGUGUGUGUAUGUGUGUGUGUAUGCAGGUAGAACUUGGGAAAGCGAUUGGGCUGAAGAUCCAGGUAUUGGAAUCCUUAGUAUUAGAACCCUUUCUGAUUGUUUUGGAAACGUUUAGGAAUUUAUGGAAUUGGCUAGUGACGUGAGGUGAGAAGUCUGGUGAACGCCGAUACUUAAGGUAAGAGCAAAGAGUUUCAUAUAAGACAUCGAAGUGGACUGGCUUGAGAGGUAAGAGGAGGAUCAGGAGAAGGUAAUGACUUAAGGGUCAAAUAAAGGUAGAGAAAGACCUAGCAGCCUUCAAAUCUCUUUCUGACGGGUGCACAAAAACCCACCAUUCAGAACUUCCUCCUUUAGUUUAAAUGCUGUACUCUCUCCAGUGUUUGUCUCCUAAGAUAUACAUGUCCCCAGCAGAGCAUAAAAUUGAGCCACUGGUACCUGAGUGAAUGGAAGGCUGGAUGAGAGCACUUCAGAAAUGGAAGGGGAUAAAAGGGGGGAGAAGUGGAGGCUGUUCAAAGAUACCUUUUGUUGAUUUCCAAUUUCUAUCAGACUGUGGUGAGCAAUGGUGCUUGGGCAGAGUGUGCUGAGGUAUCUUUGGCUUCUCUUUAAUUUUGAGAGUUAUAAUAGGUCACAUGGAAGAUCUUACCUGUUAAUAAAACACACUGCAGGGGCAAGAGGCAAGUUCUUUAAGCUUGUGACAAUCCAGUCUAGAGGGUGACGGAGCGUAAAUAUGAAUUUAUGGACCUUCAGCUACACCUAGUGGCCAAGUAGGGAAAGGAACAAAUAUUUUCUUGUAAUAUUUUAUCCUGGUUCUUGAGAUUCUUUGCUUUUACAAGUCAGUCAAUAAUUGUUUCUUGGGUAGUUAUGUAUUAUAGUGUACAGUUUCCUCUGUAUAACUAUUUUUCAGUGACUCUAUUUGUCAUCUAGCUAAAUAAUUGAUUCCCCAAACUGGAGGAAUGUGGUGAUAUGAAACAAAAAGAGACUGUGUGUGUUGGGAAGUUGGGGAGAAGGAAAUACAUGGGCAUAGACGUGUACCUCUUACCUGCUUGAAAACUCUUAAGUGCCGGCGUAAGCCUUUAGCAUUUGCUAGGUUCCUGUACUUUAGCUUUACAUAUAGGAUUGUCUUUUCCAGAAAACAAAUAACAGUAGCAGUGAUCAUGAUGAUGAUGGUCCAGGAAGAGUUGUUUGAAGGAAAGAGAGACCAAAUAUUUAUUUUGCAUCUGAUAUUUAUCAGGUUGGAAAAAUGAAAUUAAUCUGUAAGAAAAUAGAGCAGAAUCUGAAUGAAGAAUUGAUCAAGUUGCUUACAGAUGGAGAAAUCCCGUAUGUUCAUGAAGGCAGACAUUUACAAAGAUGACUCCAACCAUUGAAGAGUCGAACCGACUGGGAACACAUCUAU